rnacentral:lncRNA from 1 species
UUUUUCUGUUGCCGAGUGUAGAAGCUUGGGCUUUGGAAUUUAGAUUGAGAUCAGUUCACUCUUAAGGUUUGGAAUUGGGGAAGAGUAGAGAAUUGGAGCUGGAGGUUGAUCGAAGGCUCUUGCCAGGUAAAAGGUGGGAUUGUGCAGUACAUAAAUCGAAGAAGAAGGAUUUUUGGGUGAAGGCUACUUGACUGGGUUUUGAUCAAAUUGAGUGAUGGACGUGAUUGUUGGGAUUUCCAGUUACCCAAGGCUUGAGCAACAAAGGUGGAAGCUCAGAGAUUGUCUAAGCACGGAUUCCAGGUAG